CCUACGGGAGGCAGUAGUGGGGAAUCUUGCGCAAUGGGCGAAAGCCUGACGCAGCCAUGCCGCGUGAAUGAUGAAGGUCUUAGGAUUGUAAAAUUCUUUCACCGGGGACGAUAAUGACGGUACCCGGAGAAGAAGCCCCGGCUAACUUCGUGCCAGCAGCCGCGGUAAUACGAAGGGGGCUAGCGUUGCUCGGAAUUACUGGGCGUAAAGGGAGCGUAGGCGGAUAGUUUAGUCAGAGGUGAAAGCCCAGGGCUCAACCUUGGAAUUGCCUUUGAUACUGGCUAUCUUGAGUUUGGGAGAGGUGAGUGGAACUCCGAGUGUAGAGGUGAAAUUCGUAGAUAUUCGGAAGAACACCAGUGGCGAAGGCGACUCACUGGCCCAAUACUGACGCUGAGGCUCGAAAGCGUGGGGAGCAAACAGGAUUAGAUACCCUGGUAGUCCACGCCGUAAACGAUGAGUGCUAGUUGUCGGCAUGCAUGCAUGUCGGUGACGCAGCUAACGCAUUAAGCACUCCGCCUGGGGAGUACGGUCGCAAGAUUAAAACUCAAAGGAAUUGACGG
rnacentral:rRNA from 1 species